UUGAUUUAUGCCAUAAACGACUAAAAAAACAAAACAAAACAACAAACAAAUAUCUAUGUAGAUGCGUUUUGAUCAACUGACUAUACAAUUUUUCAGAUUCACCCCAGCCACGUCACCGCUUCCAUGCCACACCUCUGCCAUCGCAACAGGGGAACAAUCAGUUGCUGCGUGAUUCACCGUCUUCAGAAACCCCGCCAGGCCCUUUCCUUCACAGCCAGCCACUAACCCAUGAUUCACCCCAGCCACGUCACCGCUUCCAUG